rnacentral:lncRNA from 1 species
CACACACAUUUGUAUGAAUAUGGAGAAUCAGAAUCACCAUACAUAUAGAAAAGAGUAAUACUGUAAUACUCUCUGUGCGGGCGAAGGCCCCAGGGCCAGCCUUCAUUCAGAUGCAGAGUCUCGAGGAAAGCAGAGCUUUUCACCUCUUUUUCGCCGUGAACAACGAACAAUUUUAACGGUUACCGAAACUUGAAACGAAGCUUUUAUCUGUGCGGCGGAAAUGUAAAAUCUCACCAUAAUGGCCAAUGAAGUUCCAUUAAUGUAAUAUUCAAAGUAAAGCUCUUGCAUAACAAACAACACGUGGUUUCAGAAAGAUUGCAGUCCCAAAAAUGCAUCACGCAAUAAAUCCCCAAUGAAAAAUAGAUGAAAUCAAGUGAAUUCGAUCAAAAAAUUAAAAAAGGACACAUUUCAACAACUGUCCAAGCGUAGUGCGUAUGAGGUGCAAUUAAACUUUUUUAAAUGCGAAUGUGCAACAAGUGAACAAAUGAAGAACAAAAGUCAGAGUUCUGCCGAAGCGAAAAUUCUUCACCAGUGAGUGUCCGUCCUGUGCAAAUGAAUGUAGACCCGAUCACAUUUAAAAAAAUUCAAGACAAUACAUACGAAAUUUUAAAAUAUUCCGACAAAAUUUCCAACGAUGGAAGUUUUCGUUCACGAGCCCUACUCGGUAUAUGUAAAUUCCUAUGAGCACACCAAGAAAUCAAAACGUAAGUAUUAUUCGUCUAGUCCUAUGUACAUAUGUACAAAUGUUAAUGUACCUGUCACCAAAGACUGACGUAAAAUACUUACAGACCACAUAUUUGAUCCCAUGUUAACAAAACAUUUCAAAUGGAAACUCUACAAGUUGUGCAUUAAAAAAAUAAAAAAGUGAGUGUCACAAUAUAAUAAAAUAUGUAUACAUUAAUUAGCUUAAGACAAUUUUGCAGACUAUUUUAGGAAGCUAAAAGUUUCCCCCAAUCCACAUUCAAACCCACAUCACCACUUAUCACCCAAUUCUCAGCUACUGAAACCACAAUCCGAAAUUACAGACAACAGCAGCAGUAGAAACAGAAACGCCAAACAGCAAAAGGGGUGAGGGGAAGGUAGGGGGGUCCUCCCACAUGCUGCAAAAUUGCGGAGCAUUGGAUGACCCCCCGGUAUGUGUCGACGUGGGAUUUGUGUCCAUAGAUACUGCAAGUACACAGUGCACGCGGGCCUAAACGCAUUAUGAAAUUCAAUUUAUUCAAAAUUUAAGUCAUAUUAAUCUAGGGUGCAUACGCGUGUAUAAAUGUAAAUUUGAC